AUAUUUUAUGCAAAGAAAUGGUUGGCAAGUUAGAGAAUAAGGUUCUUAUUAGGGAAUACAAUGAAGACACAGAUAUUAAAGUGGUGGGGAGGCUUGAGAAGAAUUGUGAGAUAGGGUCUAAUAAGGAGGUCUCCAUUUUCACCAGCAUGAUGGUUGACCCCUUAUGUAGGAUUAGGUUCUAUCCUGUUCAUGUUAUGCUGGUGGGUGAGGGAGUUUCUGUUUCUCUUAACCUUUUUAGCAUUUCCAAAUUCAAAUAUGGAAACUUAAUAACUUUAUGUAUAUAUAUUUUGCAGUUGCAAUUACA
rnacentral:misc_RNA from 1 species